rnacentral:rRNA from 1 species
CACGUAGGCGGUGCCAUAAGUCGGAUGUGAAAUCCCUCGGCCUAACCGAGGAACUGCGUCCGAUACUGUGGUGCUUGAGGAUCAGAGGGGUGCAUGGAAUUUCCGGUGGAGCGGUGAAAUGCGUUGAUAUCGGAAGGAACUCCGGCGGCGAAAGCGAUGCACUGGCUGAUUUCUGACGCUGAGGUGCGAAAGCCAGGGGAGCAAACGGGAUUAGAUACCCCGGUAGUCCUGGCCGUAAACGAUGGGUACUAGGUAGGGGGAUUUCAAACGUCUCUCUGCUGGAGUGAAUAUAUUAAGUACCCCGCCUGGGAAGUACAGUCGCAAGGCUGAA